ACGCACGCUGGCGGCGUGCUUAACACAUGCCAGUCGAACGGAAAGGCCCUGCUUUUGUGGGGUGCUCGAGUGGCGAACGGGUGAGUAACACGUGAGUAACCUGCCCUUGACUUUGGGAUAGCUUCAGGAAACUGGGGCUAAUACCGGAUAGGAGCUCCUGCUGCAUGGUGGGGGUUGGAAAGUUUCGGCGGUUGGGGAUGGACUCGCGGCUUAUCAGCUUGUUGGUGGGGUAGUGGCUUACCAAGGCUUUGACGGGUAGCCGGCCUGAGAGGGUGACCGGCCACAUUGGGACUGAGAUACGGCCCAGACUCCUACGGGAGGCAGCAGUGGGGAAUAUUGCACAAUGGGCGGAAGCCUGAUGCAGCAACGCCGCGUGCGGGAUGACGGCCUUCGGGUUGUAAACCGCUUUCGCCUGUGACGAAGCGUGAGUGACGGUAAUGGGUAAAGAAGCACCGGCUAACUACGUG
rnacentral:rRNA from 1 species